GAUGAACGCUGGCGGCGUGCUUAACACAUGCAAGUCGAACGGUGAAGCAGAGCUUGCUCUGUGGAUCAGUGGCGAACGGGUGAGUAACACGUGAGCAACCUGCCCCUGACUCUGGGAUAAGCGCUGGAAACGGCGUCUAAUACUGGAUAUGAGCUGCGACCGCAUGGUCAGCAGUUGGAAAGAUUUUUCGGUCUGGGAUGGGCUCACGGCCUAUCAGCUUGUUGGUGAGGUAAUGGCUCACCAAGGCGUCGACGGGUAGCCGGCCUGAGAGGGUGACCGGCCACACUGGGACUGAGACACGGCCCAGACUCCUACGGGAGGCAGCAGUUGGGAAUAUUGCACAAUGGGCGAAAGCCUGAUGCAGCAACGCCGCGUGAGGGAUGACGGCCUUCGGGUUGUAAACCUCUUUUAGCAGGGAAGAAGCGAAAGCGACGGUACCUGCAGAAAAAGCGCCGGCUAACUACGUG
rnacentral:rRNA from 1 species